GAGGGCUUAUCGGAUUACUGGGCGUAAGCGCACGCUAGGCGGUCUGUUAAGUCAGAUGUGAAAUCCCCGGGCUUAACCUGGGAACUGCAUUUGAAACUGGCAGGCUUGAGUCUUGUAGAGGGGGGUAGAAUUCCAGGUGUAGCGGUGAAAUGCGUAGAGAUCUGGAGGAAUACCGGUGGCGAAGGCGGCCCCCUGGACAAAGACUGACGCUCAGGUGCGAAAGCGUGGGGAGCAAACAGGAUUAGAUACCCUGGUAGUCCACGCCGUAAACGAUGUCGACUUGGAGGUUGUUCCCUUGAGGAGUGGCUUCCGGAGCUAACGCGUUAAGUCGACCGCCUGGGGAGUACGGCCGCAAGGUUAAAACUCAAAUGAAUUGACGGGGGCCCGCACAAGCGGUGGAGCAUGUGGUUUAAUUCGAUGCAACGCGAAGAACCUUACCUACUCUUGACAUCCAGCGAACUUUCCAGAGAUGGUUUGGUGCCUUCGGGAACGCUGAGACAGGUGCUGCAUGGCUGUCGUCAGCUCGUGUUGUGAAAUGUUGGGUUAAGUCCCGCAACGAGCGCAACCCUUAUCCUUUGUUGCCAGCGAUUCGGUCGGGAACUCAAAGGAGACUGCCGGUGAUAAACCGGAGGAAGGUGGGGAUGACGUCAAGUCAUCAUGGCCCUUUACGAGUAGGGCUACACACGUGCUACAAUGGCGCAUACAAAGAGAAGCGACCUCGCGAGAGCAAGCGGACCUCACAAAGUGCGUCGUAGUCCGGAUCGGAGUCUGCAACUCGACUCCGUGAAGUCGGAAUCGCUAGUAAUCGUGGAUCAGAAUGCCACGGUGAAUACGUUUCCCGGGCCCUGGUACACACCGCCCGUCACAACCAUGGGAGUGGGUUUGCAAAAGAAAGUAGGUAGCUUAACCUUCGCGGAAGGGCGCUUACCACUUUGUGAUUUCAUGACUGGGGGGGAAGCGGCAACAAGGUAAGCGUAUAAUUGGGGACCUCCU
rnacentral:rRNA from 1 species